CAAAGGCCUGGUCCUAACUUUACUGUCCACUAUAGCUGUACUUACACAUGCAAGUAUCCGCACCCCUGUGAGGAUGCCCUUCACCCUCUUAUGAGACCAAGGAGCCGGUAUCAGGCACAUUUUCUAGCCCAUAACACCUUGCUUAGCCACACCCCCAAGGGAACCCAGCAGUGAUAAACAUUAAGCCAUGAGUGCAAACUCGACUUAGUUAAAGCUAAGAGGGCCGGUAAAACUCGUGCCAGCCACCGCGGUUAUACGAGAGGCCCAAGCUGACAGAAACCGGCGUAGAGAGUGGUUAGGGGAUCCUUAAACUAAAGCCAAACAUUUUCCAAGCUGUUAUACGCAUCCGAAAAUAUGAAAAUCAUCUACGAAAGUGGCUUUAAUGGUCUGACUCCACGAAAGUUAUGAAACAAACUGGGAUUAGAUACCCCACUAUG
rnacentral:rRNA from 1 species